CGCUCUCAUGGGGAGAGCUUAUGCAGCACCCACUGCGUAGCGACUAGAACUCGCUCUUAUAAGGAGAAAACAAAUG
rnacentral:ncRNA from 1 species